rnacentral:rRNA from 1 species
UGGAGGGCAAGUCUGGUGCCAGCAGCCGCGGUAAUUCCAGCUCCAAUAGCGUAUAUUAAAGUUGUUGCAGUUAAAAAGCUCGUAGUUGAAUUUCGGGGUUCUACCGUUGGUCGGGCUUUGUCUGUACUGGUGUGUAGAAUUUCUACCUUCUGGGGAACCAUCAUGCUAUUAAUUUAGCGUGGUGGGAAACCAGGACCUUUACCUUGAAAAAAUUAGUGUGUUCAAAGCAGGCUUAUGUCUGAAUACAUUAGCGUGGAAUAAUAGAAUAGGACGGUGGUCCUGUUUUGUUGGUUUCUGAAUCACCGUAAUGAUUAAUAGGGAUAGUUGGGGGCAUUAGUAUUCAAUUGUCAGAGGUGAAAUUCUUAGAUUUAUUGAAGACUAACUUCUGCGAAAGCAUUUGCCAAGGAUGUUUUCAUUAAUCAAGAACGAAAGUUAGGGGAUCGAAGACGAUCAGAUACCGUCGUAGUCUUAACCAUAAACUAUGCCGACUAGGGAUCGGACGAUGUUAAUUUUUCUUGACUCGUUCGGCGCCUUACGGGAAAC